rnacentral:lncRNA from 1 species
GGCGAGAUCCCAGUAGUGUUGUAUAUGAAGAACAUCGCCCAGAACCAUCCUCUCAAUCCUCUCCUGUGGUGUGUGUGGUAGCAGUACUCAUGUGUAAAGAUUGGUACCAGCAGAACAAAGUGCCCAGUAAACGUAGAUACAGGUGUAAGGAAGAUUUGGUUAUUUUUGUUUCUGUUCUUUUAAGACUCCAUGAAUUUGAUGAACAAGUGGCUGCUGUCCGGGAAGGGAUGGCUCGAGUUGUGCCUGUACCUCUUCUCUCUCUUUUCACUGGAUACGAAUUGGAGACAAUGGUAUGUGGGAGCCCGGACAUCCCACUGCAUCUUUUAAAGUCAGUGGCAACAUAUAAAGGGAUUGAGCCUUCUGCAUCCUUGGUCCAGUGGUUCUGGGAGGUGAUGGAGUCUUUCUCUAACAC